GGUUAGAAUAGAUUGUCUAUUAGUGGUGGUCCGAUUAUUGAAAUAAUGGAAGAUUGGUCGCAGUCACUAAACGACCAAGCAAUCGAUCAUGUUUUCUCAUAAUCGAACACAAACAAUUCUAGUACACUUGUUUUCAUUAACACUAUUUUUCACUAG